rnacentral:rRNA from 1 species
AGCGAACGCUGGCGGCAGGCCUAACACAUGCAAGUCGAACGAACUCUUCGGAGUUAGUGGCGGACGGGUGAGUAACACGUGGGAACGUGCCUUUUGGUUCGGAAUAACUCAGGGAAACUUGUGCUAAUACCGAAUGUGCCCUUCGGGGGAAAGAUUUAUCGCCAUUAGAGCGGCCCGCGCCUGAUUAGCUAGUUGGUGAGGUAACGGCUCACCAAGGCGACGAUCAGUAGCUGGUCUGAGAGGAUGACCAGCCACACUGGGACUGAGACACGGCCCAGACUCCUACGGGAGGCAGCAGUGGGGAAUCUUGCGCAAUGGGCGAAAGCCUGACGCAGCCAUGCCGCGUGAAUGAUGAAGGUCUUAGGAUUGUAAAAUUCUUUCACCGGGGACGAUAAUGACGGUACCCGGAGAAGAAGCCCCGGCUAACUUCGUG